rnacentral:rRNA from 1 species
UCCUGGCGACUAUAGCGAUUUGGAACCACCUGAUACCAUCUCGAAACUCAGAAAGUGAA